GUCAUUAACGAAUAACUAUGGUGUCUUGGUUGUAGCUGGCUCCUCGGAGCAUUGUGCACGCCCGCCAUUUUUAUCUAUCCACCUGUGCACCGACUGUAGGUCUGGAUGACUCUCGUGCUCUCUGAGUGCGGAUGCGAGGAUUGCCCUCUUGAGGUGUCUCUCCUCGAAUUUCCAGGCUCUACGUCUCUUUACACACCCCACAAGUAUGAUAUAGAAUGUAGUCAAUGGGCUUGAUCGCCUAUAAAACACUAUACAACUUUCAGCAACGGAUCUCUUGGCUCUCGCAUCGAUGAAGAACGCAGCGAAAUGCGAUAAGUAAUGUGAAUUGCAGAAUUCAGUGAAUCAUCGAAUCUUUGAACGCACCUUGCGCUCCUUGGUAUUCCGAGGAGCAUGCCUGUUUGAGUGUCAUUAAAUUCUCAACCUCACCCGUUUUCCGAACGGUUCUCCGAGGCUUGGAUGUGGGGGUUUGUGCAGGCUGCCUCAGCGCGGUCUGCUCCCCUGAAAUGCAUUAGCGAGUUCGUACUGAGCUCCGUCUAUUGGUGUGAUAAUUAUCUACGCCGUGGACAGGGUUUAGACUCGCUUCUAACCGUCCGCAAGGACAAUACCUUUGACAAUUUGACCUCAAAUCAGGUAGGACUACCCGCUGAACUUAAGCAUAUCAAUAAGCGGAGGAAAAGAAACUAACAAGGAUUCCCCUAGUAACUGCGAGUGAAGCGGGAAAAGCUCAAUUUAAAAUCUGGCGGUCC
rnacentral:rRNA from 1 species